CCUACGGGAGGCAGCAGUGGGGAAUCUUGCGCAAUGCACGAAAGUGUGACGCAGCAACGCCGCGUGGAGGAAGAAGGCUCUCGGGUCGUAAACUCCUUUCAGUUGGGACGAAGCUUCGUCGGUUAAUAGCCGGCUGGAGUGACGGUAACUUCACAAGAAGCACCGGCUAACUACGUGCCAGCAGCCGCGGUAAUACGUAGGGUGCAAGCGUUGUCCGGAAUCAUUGGGCGUAAAGAGCGUGUAGGCGGCCCGAUUAGUCCGCUGUGAAAGUCCAGGGCUCAACCCUGGAAUGCCGGUGGAUACUGUCGGGCUCGAGUCCGGAAGAGGCGAGUGGAAUUCCUGGUGUAGCGGUGAAAUGCGCAGAUAUCAGGAAGAACACCAACGGCGAAGGCAGCUCGCUGGGACGGUACUGACGCUGAGACGCGAAAGCGUGGGGAGCAAACAGGAUUAGAUACCCUGGUAGUCCACGACCGUAACGAGUGGUACGUAGUGUGGGGUGGUCGACGUCCCCGUCGCCGACGCACGCAUAGUACCCGCCGUCGGGAGGUACGGCCGGCGACGGAACGUAAACCGUUAAACGUUAGUUAAGUUAGUUACGGCGUGAGACGUUGCCGACGGACGACGACGAGGGAGGAGG
rnacentral:rRNA from 1 species